UGGAAAGAACAUAACUACAAUUUGAGGGCUACUUCCUUAUUAUGAAUACUAGGAAACAUCUGUAAAUUUCUGCAUUUCCUCUUGAUUAAACUGAAUAUUCACAAUUCCUCAACCAAUAGAGUUUUAUUAUGGAGAUAAAUAGUAGUGGCAAAUCCUACCCAAAAAAAAAUUAUAAUUAUGGUUUGGACUACAUGGAGAUGUACAAAAGAUAAAAUCUUUGAAUCAUGCCAAAGGAGACGUGAAACCCAAUCUUGAUCAAUACAAGAAAGGUGGAUAUGUUGCCCUCUGUGCAAUUUGCAAUUAUAAUUUGUUUCCAAUGAGCUGUUUCGUAUAAUGAAUGUUUCUUGGAAAAAGAAAAUGCAUGAUUUUGGUGUAGUACCAGAUUGUCGUUUUCAUCUUAUCACAGCAUACAGUUUCUCAUAUUGCAAUCAAACUUUGUGCUGCAGUGAUCUUUCUUACAAUAGUUUUACAGUGGAUAGGUCUGCACCAACUUAUUGUUCACAAGGAACACUGUAAGAUUACUUGUGUAAUUAUGGCUUCUUUACAUUGUUCAUUUCACAUGGUUUCUUAUAUUAUGCUGUUGAAAAUUUCUGUGUAUUUCAUCAGCAACUUGUUUGGGACCUCUUCAAUGCUGAACAAUUCAUAAGCUUCUAAUGUUCUUAUUGUUAAAUUGCACAAUGAGUUGUUGGUGAUGGUCGUCCGUUUUGUUGCAGCCACUUCUGUUCAUCUUAAAUGUGUAUUAAACCUCGUCGAAUAUAAUCUUAUAAUGCUUAUUGUUGACCACAUAUUGAUCUUGGAGUGGAGUUGUUCCAUGCUUGAAGAGCUUCAAUUGUCCAAAAUGAGGACUAAAAAAGGAAUUCUUUUAUGGAGUCUGGUUUGAUAUGUUUAAACAUAAUACAAAGUAUGGAAAGGAAGUUGCAGGUAGUAAUUGAAGCUAUUGAGUGUGGUAAGAGCACCCUGGUAUUUACCUUAAGCAGUAUGGUAUGAGACUUGUAAAAUGUUGCAGGUAGCAGGAGUUUUUAUGGUGGUCAUGGUUGUGGAUUUUAUUAUUUUGGAUCAUUAAUGUGGUCUUGAAUUUUGCUUAUUUUGGAUAAUGAAUGUGUGGAUUUGCUGAAUUCAUUUGAGAAAUGAGCUGGAAAAAUGGAUGAACAAUAUAAUAUUCAAUGCAUCAUCAAGAUGGGGCCUACAGUGACAGUAUCUUCUCCUGUUUUGAUCAAACCAACUGCCAUGCUGGAUGUGAUUACUCGUUAAGCUGCAGCAGAGAACUUUUUGGCAAUGAUGCUGUGAAUGGUUUUGCGGAUGAUGGAUGGUUGUUGAUGAAAAUGCAGCAGUUGCAUGUGCCCAGCUUGUCUUUGCA